CACAUGUUUGAAGGUCGUCAUAAUCGAGAUGAGUUGAACCAUGGGUAUGAGGAUUGCCAUGACCUGAGAUACACUGGGAUAUUUAAGUAUGAGACACACGACAACUCAGGAUGCAUGCUUUAGUUUGGUUGCCGGAAAAAAUCUAAAAAUUAUUCCUCUAAAUCAGGUUAUAAACUGAUCAAGAAGCAUCUUGUGCACUCUCAACAGGCACCAAUGUGUGGCAAGUAAAAACCUCCCCAAAGCUCAAACACUUCCUGUAAAAGAUUGCAAAUGGAUGGAGCCCUCCCAGUGGGGUAUGAAGAUAAUCUCUAUCAAUGCCAAAUUGUUAGAGAACAUUAUGGAUAGAGAUUAUUUUGGUUGGGUUGGUAUGGAGGGCUCAAGUGUCUUGAUGACUUUAUGUACUUUUCUUGCUUUUGAUAGCUACUCAGACAGAUUAAACCGAGACACACGAACUAAAAAUAUCCCUAUUGAAUGAAGUGUCCUACUGUCCUUGGACU
rnacentral:lncRNA from 1 species